UUUAAUGGCCGCGGUAUAUUGACUGUGCAAAGGUAGCAUAAUCAUUAGUUUUUUAAUUGAAAGCUGGUAUGAAGGGUUGGAUGAAAAAAUGACUGUCUCUAUUUAAAUUUAUUUGAAUUUUAUUUUUAAGUUAAAAAGCUUAAAUAAAUGUGAAAGACGAGAAGACCCUAUAGAGUUUGAUAUUUUAAAAUUUUUAAGAUUUUGGUAUUUUAAGUUUUAAUUUUGUAAAAGUAUUUAAUUGGGGUGAUUAAAAAAUUAGAUAAACUUUUUUUUUAUUGUUACAUUAAUUUAUGAAUAUUUGAUCCUUUAAUAAAGAUUAUAAGAUUAAAUUACCUUAGGGAUAACAGCGUAAUUUUUUUUGAGAGUUCUAAUCGAAAGAAAAAAUUGCGACCUCGAUGUUGGAUUAAA
rnacentral:rRNA from 1 species